rnacentral:rRNA from 1 species
AAGUUGAUCAUGGCUCAGAACGAACGCUGGCGGCAGGCUUAACACAUGCAAGUCGAACGGGUGUAGCAAUACAUCAGUGGCAGACGGGUGAGUAACACGUGGGAACCUUCCUAGGGGUACGGAACAACUCAGGGAAACUUGAGCUAAUACCGUAUACGUCCGUAAGGAGAAAGAUUCAUCGCCCCUAGACGGGCCCGCGUCGGAUUAGGUAGUUGGUGGGGUAACGGCCUACCAAGCCUACGAUCCGUAGCUGAUCUGAGGGGAUGAUCAGCCACACUGGGACUGAGACACGGCCCAGACUCCUACGGGAGGCAGCAGUGGGGAAUCUUGGACAAUGGGCGCAAGCCUGAUCCAGCCAUGCCGCGUGAGUGAAGAAGGCCUUAGGGUUGUAAAGCUCUUUUACCAGGGACGAUAAUGACGGUACCUGGAGAAUAAGCCCCGGCAAACUUCGUGCCAGCAGCCGCGGUAAUACGAAGGGGGCUAGCGUUGUUCGGAAUUACUGGGCGUAAAGCGCACGUAGGCGGGUCGUUAAGUCAGGGUGAAAUCCCGGAGCUCAACUCCGGAACUGCCUUUGAUACUGGCGAUCUAGAGAUCGAGAGAGGUGAGUGGAAUUCCGAGUGUAGAGGUGAAAUUCGUAGAUAUUCGGAAGACACAGUGGCGAAGGCGGCUCACUGGCUCGAUACUGACGCUGAGGUGCGAAAGCGUGGGGAGCAACAGGAUUAGAUACCCUGGUAGUCACGCCGU